rnacentral:rRNA from 1 species
UUUAACGAGAGUUUGAUCCUGGCUCAGGAUGAACGCUGGCGGCGUGCUUAACACAUGCAAGUCGAGCGAAGCACUUUACUUUGAUUUCUUCGGAUUGAAGAGUGUUGUGACUGAGCGGCGGACGGGUGAGUAACGCGUGGGUAACCUGCCUCAUACAGGGGGAUAACAGUUAGAAAUGGCUGCUAAUACCGCAUAAGACCACGGUACCGCAUGGUACA